rnacentral:rRNA from 1 species
GAUGAACGCUGGCGGCGUGCCUAAUACAUGCAAGUCGAGCGAACAGACGAGGCGCUUGCUCCUCUGUCGUUAGCGGCGGACGGGUGAGUAACACGUGGAUAACCUACCUAUAAGACUGGGAUAACUUCGGGAAACCGGCUCUAAUACCGGAUAAUAUAUUGAACCGCAUGGUUCAAUAGUGAAAUACGGUUUUGCUGUCACUUAUAGAUGGAUCCGCGCCGCAUUAGCUAGUUGGUAAGGUAACGGCAUACCAAGGCAACGAUGCGUAGCCGACCGGAGAGGGGGAUCGGCCACACGGGAACUGAGACACGGUCCAGACUCCUACGGGAGGCAGCAGUAGGGAAUCUUACGCAAGGGGCGAAAGCCUGACGGAGCAAAGCCGCGUGAGUGAUGAAGGUCUUAGGAUCGUAAAACUCUGUUAUUAGGGGAGAACAAAUGUGUAAGUAACUAUGCAGGUGUUGACGGUACCUGAUCAGAAAGCCACGGCUAACUACGUG